CCUACGGGAGGCAGCAGUGGGGAAUAUUGCACAAUGGGGGAAACCCUGAUGCAGCAACGCCGCGUGAGUGAGGAAGUAUUUAUGUAUGUAAAGCUCUAUCAGCAGGGAAUAGAAAAGAAGGUACCUGAAAAAGAAGGCCCGGCUAACUACGUGCAAGCAGCCGCGGUAAUACGUAGGGGGCAAGCGUUAACCGGAUGUACGGGGUGUAAAGGGAGCGUAGACGGAAAGGCAAGUCAGAAGUGAAAGCCCAAGGCUCAACCAUGGGACUGCUUUUGAAACUUUCAAACUAGAGUACGGGAGAGGUAAGAGGAAUUCCUGGUGUAGCGGUGAAAUGCGUAGAUAUUACGAGGAACACCAGUUGCGAAGGCGUCUUACUGGACCGAAACUGACGUUGAGGCUCGAAAGCGUGGGGAGCAAACAGGAUUAGAUACUCGAGUAGUC
rnacentral:rRNA from 1 species